CUUCCACCAGGAUUGGCCACCCCCGAGGCAGGCGAGGAGCCCCGAGCGGGGCUCUGAGUGUUAGGAGGAGCCGAGCGAUCCAAAGCAUGACCUGCAGGCUGAGAGCAGCCAGGCGGCCUUGGAACAACUGGCCGAGCCACCACGAGACCCAAACCCGCACUUUGGGAGGGGCCUGGGGUCCACAGAAAACGCCCACACGCCCUCAGCGCAGCCUGCCUGCAGCCCCCAGCCCAGCCAACAAGGCCCGGGCGAGGCCACUUCACUGCCCAACUCCAAGCCCAGCCCAGGUUGUGAAGGCUGAAGAGCUAACCUGGCCGGCGUCCCAGGCAGAGACUGGGAGCGAGCAGGGACUCUGGAAGCCGGCAGAGCUGAUCUGCUGGCUGCCUGACUUGGGGCCGUUGCCUCCACUUCUGAGCCUGGUGUUCUCGGCUGCAGAGUGGGGACGGCUAAUGCCUACCUUAUAGGGGGAGGAAGAAAUGAGGGGACAACGCAGCCGCUCUGUGCACAUUACACCACACAGUCCUCGCAGUUAGGGUUCGUGUUCUCAGUGCACCUGAAGAAAACAAGGCUCAGAAAAGUUCUGGAGGUCAGAAGUUCAAAAUUAAUUUCAACGAGCUGAAGUCGAGAAGUCAGCGGGCUGGCUCCUUCUGGAGGCUUCAGAGAGAAUCUGCUCCCUGACUUUUCCAGCUUCUGGAGGUGCCUGUUCUCCUUGGCUGGCACGACUCAACCUCUUGCUUGCGUUGUCACACCUCGUCUCCUCUCCUGUAGGAGAAUCUCCUUGGGCCUCCCACUUGUAAAGAUCCUCGUGAUCACGUCAGUGGGCCCGCCUGUAAUUCAGGACCCUCUUCCCAUCUUAGUCACAUCUGCAAAGUCCCCUCUGCCGUGGAAGGCAACACAUUCACAGGUCUGGGGAUCAGGAUGUGGACAUCUCAGGGGUCCAUUUUUCAGCUUACCACGGGAUCCUUUUUAAACAUAAGUGGGGUCACGUCUCUCCUCAGCUCACCCCUCUAUUCCCAGAAGCUCCGCCUCUCAGUGUAAAAGCCACACCCUUCCCAUGGCCCAUGAGAUCCUCUGUGAUCUGGAUCCUACUCUUCUCUGACUCAGAUCCUCCCACCUUUCCCCUCACUUUCACUCUGCUCGAGCCACAUUGGGCCUCCUUGCUAGGUCCCAUUAAUACCAACCACAGUCUCGCCUCAGGGCCUUUGCACUGGCUGUUCCCUCUGCCCAGAAGGCUCUUCUCUCCAAUACCCUCACGGUUCACUCCCUCACAUCACUGAGGUCUCUGUUCCAGUCACCAAGAGAGGCCUUCCUGUACCUCCCUGUAUAAAAUAAAGCUCCGGCCACACACCCCAUCCCUCUCUGUCCCAUUACUCUGCUUUAUUUUUGUUCUUGAUCCUCAUCACCUCCUGAGAUCAAUUUUUGGUUUAUUGGUUUACAAUCUGCUUCUCUACUAGGACGUAAGUUAUUUGACAGGAGGAAUUCUGUUCAUGUAUCCCUGCCGCUGGCUGGUGCCUGGCAUGCAGUAGGUGCUCAAUAAAUACUUCUGAGAUGG
rnacentral:lncRNA from 1 species